rnacentral:rRNA from 1 species
GACGAACGCUGGCGGCGUGCCUAAUACAUGCAAGUCGAGCGAAUCAAUAGGAGCUUGCUCCUGUUGAUUAGCGGCGGACGGGUGAGUAACACGUGGGCAACCUGCCUGUAAGACUGGGAUAACUUCGGGAAACCGGAGCUAAUACCGGAUAAUCCUUUUCCUCUCAUGAGGAAAAGCUGAAAGUCGGUUUCGGCUGACACUUACAGAUGGGCUCGCGGCGCAUUAGCUAGUUGGGGAGGUAACGGCACACCAAGGCGACGAUGCGUAGCCGACAUGAGAGGGCGAUCGGCCACACGGGGACUGAGACACGGCCCAGACUCCUACGGGAGGCAGCAGUAGGGAAUCUUCCGCAAUGGACGAAAGUCUGACGGAGCAACGCCGCGUGAGCGAUGAAGGCCUUCGGGUCGUAAAGCUCUGUUGUUAGGGAAGAACAAGUAUCGGAGUAACUGCCGGUACCUUGACGGUACCUAACCAGAAAGCCACGGCUAACUACGUGCCAGCAGCCGCCGUAA